rnacentral:rRNA from 1 species
AGUGAACGCUGGCGGUAGGCCUAACACAUGCAAGUCGAACGGCAGCACAGUAAGAGCUUGCUCUUACGGGUGGCGAGUGGCGGACGGGUGAGGAAUACAUCGGAAUCUACUUUUUCGUGGGGGAUAACGUAGGGAAACUUACGCUAAUACCGCAUACGACCUACGGGUGAAAGCAGGGGAUCUUCGGACCUUGCGCGAUUGAAUGAGCCGAUGUCGGAUUAGCUAGUUGGCGGGGUAAAGGCCCACCAAGGCGACGAUCCGUAGCUGGUCUGAGAGGAUGAUCAGCCACACUGGGACUGAGACACGGUCCAGACUCCUACGGGAGGCAGCAGUGGGGAAUAUUGGACAAUGGGGGCAAGCCUGAUCCAGCCAUACCGCGUGGGUGAAGAAGGCCUUCGGGUUGUAAAGCCCUUUUGUUGGGAAAGAAAAGCAGCAGGUUAAUACCCCGCUGUUCUGACGGUACCCAAAGAAUAAGCACCGGCUAACUUCGUG